rnacentral:misc_RNA from 1 species
GAUGAAGAACGCAGCGAAAUGCGAUAAGUAAUGUGAAUUGCAGAAUUCAGUGAAUCAUCGAAUCUUUGAACGCACCUUGCGCCCUUUGGACUUCUGAAGGGCAUGCCUGUUUGAGUAUCAUGAACACCUCAACUCCUUAUGGUCUUCCAUGAUGAGCUUGGACUUUGGGGGUUUUGCUGGCCUACAGUCAGCUCCUCUAAAAUAAAUCAGCUUACCGGUGUUUGGUGGGUAUCAUGGGUGUGAUAACUAUCUACGCUCGUGGUUUUCCACCAGGUAACCUUCAGCAGUGGAGGUUCACUGGAGCUCAUAGAUGUCUCUCCUCAGCGAGGACAGCCCUUUGAAUGUUUGAUCUCAAAGCAGGUAGGACUACCCGCUGAACUUAAGCAUAUCAAUAAGCGGAGGA